CUACGUGCCAGCAGCCGCGGUAAUACGUAGGUGGCAAGCGUUGUCCGGAAUUAUUAGGCGUAAAGCGCGCGCAGGCGGAUAGGUCAGUCUGUCUUAAAAGUUCGGGGCUUAACCCCGUGAUGGGAUGGAAACUGCCAAUCUAGAGUAUCGGAGAGGAAAGUGGAAUUCCUAGUGUAGCGGUGAAAUGCGUAGAUAUUAGGAAGAACACCAGUGGCGAAGGCGACUUUCUGGACGAAAACUGACGCUGAGGCGCGAAAGCCAGGGGAGCGAACGGGAUUAGAUACCCCGGUAGUCCUGGCCGUAAACGAUGGGUACUAGGUGUAGGAGGUAUCGACCCCUUCUGUGCCGGAGUUAACGCAAUAAGUACCCCGCCUGGGGAGUACGACCGCAAGGUUGAAACUCAAAGGAAUUGACGGGGGCCCGCACAAGCGGUGGAGUAUGUGGUUUAAUUCGACGCAACGCGAAGAACCUUACCAGGUCUUGACAU
rnacentral:rRNA from 1 species